UACGGAGGGGGCUAGCGUUGUUCGGAAUUACUGGGCGUAAAGCGCACGUAGGCGGCGAUCUAAGUCAGAGGUGAAAGCCCGGGGCUACAACCCCGGAACUGCCUUUGAGACUGGAUUGCUAGAAUCACGGAGAGGUGGGUGGAAUUCCGAGUGUAGAGGUGAAAUUCGUAGAUAUUCGGAAGAACACCAGUGGCGAAGGCGGCCCACUGGACGUGUAUUGACGCUGAG
rnacentral:rRNA from 1 species